ACAGGUGUGAAGUUUUAGAACAGGUGUGAAGUUUUAGAACAGGUGUGAAGUUUUAGAACAGGUGUGAAGUUUUAGAACAGGUGUGAAGUUUUAGAACAGGUGUGAAGUUUUAGAACAGGUGUGAAAUUUAGGAAAGGUGUGAAAUUUAGGAAAAGGUGUGAAAUUUAGGAAAAGGUGUGAAAUUUAGGAAAAGGUGUGAAAUUUAGGAAAAGGUGUGAAAUUUAGGAAAAGGUGUGAAAUUUAGGAAAAGGUGUGAAAUUUAGGAAAAGGUGUG